GGUUAAGCGACUAAGCGUACACGGUGGAUGCCCUGGCAGUCAGAGGCGAUGAAGGACGUGCUAAUCUGCGAAAAGCGUCGGUAAGGUGAUAUGAACCGUUAUAACCGGCGAUGUCCGAAUGGGGAAACCCAGUGCAAUUCGUUGCACUAUCGUUAACUGAAUACAUAGGUUAACGAGGCGAACCGGGGGAACUGAAACAUCUAAGUACCCCGAGGAAAAGAAAUCAACCGAGAUUCCCCCAGUAGCGGCGAGCGAACGGGGAGCAGCCCAGAGUCUGAAUCAGCUUGUGUGUUAGUGGAACGGUCUGGAAAGUCCGACGGUACAGGGUGAUAGUCCCGUACACCAAAAUGCACAGGCUGUGAACUCGAAGAGUAGGGCGGGACACGUGGUAUCCUGUCUGAAUAUGGGGGGGACCAUCCUCCAAGGCUAAAUACUCCUGACUGACCGAUAGUGAACCAGUACCGUGAGGGAAAGGCGAAAAGAACCCCGGCGAGGGGAGUGAAAAAGAACCUGAAACCGUGUACGUACAAGCAGUGGGAGCACCUUCGGGUGUGACUGCGUACCUUUUGUAUAAUGGGUCAGCGACUUAUAUUCUGUAGCAAGGUUAACCGUAUAGGGGAGCCGCAGGGAAACCGAGUCUUAACUGGGCGUUAAGUUGCAGGGUAUAGACCCGAAACCCGGUGAUCUAGCCAUGGGCAGGUUGAAGGUUGGGUAACACUAACUGGAGGACCGAACCGACUAAUGUUGAAAAAUUAGCGGAUGACUUGUGGCUGGGGGUGAAAGGCCAAUCAAACCGGGAGAUAGCUGGUUCUCCCCGAAAGCUAUUUAGGUAGCGCCUCGUGAACUCAUCUUCGGGGGUAGAGCACUGUUUCGGCUAGGGGGUCAUCCCGACUUACCAACCCGAUGCAAACUACGAAUACCGAAGAAUGUUAUCACGGGAGACACACGGCGGGUGCUAACGUCCGUCGUGAAGAGGGAAACAACCCAGACCGCCAGCUAAGGUCCCAAAGUCAUGGUUAAGUGGGAAACGAUGUGGGAAGGCACAGACAGCCAGGAUGUUGGCUUAGAAGCAGCCAUCAUUUAAAGAAAGCGUAAUAGCUCACUGGUCGAGUCGGCCUGCGCGGAAGAUGUAACGGGGCUAAACCAUGCACCGAAGCUGCGGCAGCGACACUAUGUGUUGUUGGGUAGGGGAGCGUUCUGUAAGCCUGCGAAGGUGUGCUGUGAGGCAUGCUGGAGGUAUCAGAAGUGCGAAUGCUGACAUAAGUAACGAUAAAGCGGGUGAAAAGCCCGCUCGCCGGAAGACCAAGGGUUCCUGUCCAACGUUAAUCGGGGCAGGGUGAGUCGACCCCUAAGGCGAGGCCGAAAGGCGUAGUCGAUGGGAAACAGGUUAAUAUUCCUGUACUUGGUGUUACUGCGAAGGGGGGACGGAGAAGGCUAUGUUAGCCGGGCGACGGUUGUCCCGGUUUAAGCAUGUAGGCUGAUUGUCCAGGCAAAUCCGGAUAAUCAAGGCUGAGGUGUGAUGACGAGGCACUACGGUGCUGAAGUAACAAAUGCCCUGCUUCCAGGAAAAGCCUCUAAGCAUCAGGUAACAUCAAAUCGUACCCCAAACCGACACAGGUGGUCAGGUAGAGAAUACCAAGGCGCUUGAGAGAACUCGGGUGAAGGAACUAGGCAAAAUGGUGCCGUAACUUCGGGAGAAGGCACGCUGGUGUGUAGGUGAAGUCCCUGCGGAUGGAGCUGAGACCAGUCGAAGAUACCAGCUGGCUGCAACUGUUUAUUAAAAACACAGCACUGUGCAAACACGAAAGUGGACGUAUACGGUGUGACGCCUGCCCGGUGCCGGAAGGUUAAUUGAUGGGGUUAUCCGUAAGGAGAAGCUCUUGAUCGAAGCCCCGGUAAACGGCGGCCGUAACUAUAACGGUCCUAAGGUAGCGAAAUUCCUUGUCGGGUAAGUUCCGACCUGCACGAAUGGCGUAAUGAUGGCCAGGCUGUCUCCACCCGAGACUCAGUGAAAUUGAACUCGCUGUGAAGAUGCAGUGUACCCGCGGCAAGACGGAAAGACCCCGUGAACCUUUACUAUAGCUUGACACUGAACAUUGAGCCUUGAUGUGUAGGAUAGGUGGGAGGCUUUGAAGCGUGGACGCCAGUCUGCGUGGAGCCAACCUUGAAAUACCACCCUUUAAUGUUUGAUGUUCUAACGUUGGCCCCUGACCGGGGUUGCGGACAGUGUCUGGUGGGUAGUUUGACUGGGGCGGUCUCCUCCCAAAGCGUAACGGAGGAGCACGAAGGUUAGCUAAUCCUGGUCGGACAUCAGGAGGUUAGUGCAAUGGCAUAAGCUAGCUUGACUGCGAGCGUGACGGCGCGAGCAGGUGCGAAAGCAGGUCAUAGUGAUCCGGUGGUUCUGAAUGGAAGGGCCAUCGCUCAACGGAUAAAAGGUACUCCGGGGAUAACAGGCUGAUACCGCCCAAGAGUUCAUAUCGACGGCGGUGUUUGGCACCUCGAUGUCGGCUCAUCACAUCCUGGGGCUGAAGUAGGUCCCAAGGGUAUGGCUGUUCGCCAUUUAAAGUGGUACGCGAGCUGGGUUUAGAACGUCGUGAGACAGUUCGGUCCCUAUCUGCCGUGGGCGCUGGAGAAUUGAGGGGGGCUGCUCCUAGUACGAGAGGACCGGAGUGGACGCAUCACUGGUGUUCGGGUUGUCAUGCCAAUGGCACUGCCCGGUAGCUAAAUGCGGAAGAGAUAAGUGCUGAAAGCAUCUAAGCACGAAACUUGCCCCGAGAUGAGUUCUCCCUGAGACUUUAAGUCUCCUGAAGGAACGUUAAAGACGAUGACGUUGAUAGGCCGGGUGUGUAAGCGCAGCGAUGCGUUGAGCUAACCGGUACUAAUGAACCGUGAGGCUUAACCUU
rnacentral:rRNA from 1 species